AUGAACGCUGGCGGCGUGCCUAACACAUGCAAGUCGAACGAAGCACAUACGACGGAACUCUUCGGAGGGAAGAUGUAUAUGACUGAGUGGCGGACGGGUGAGUAACGCGUGGGUAACCUGCCCUAUACAGGGGGACAACAGUUGGAAACGACUGCUAAUACCGCAUAAGCGCACAGUACCGCAUGGUACAGAGCGAAAAAACUCCGGUGGUAUAAGAUGGACCCGCGUCUGAUUAGCUAGUUGGUGAGAUAACAGCCCACCAAGGCGACGAUCAGUAGCCGACCUGAGAGGGUGACCGGCCACAUUGGGACUGAGACACGGCCCAGACUCCUACGGGAGGCAGCAGUGGGGAAUAUUGCACAAUGGAGGAAACUCUGAUGCAGCGACGCCGCGUGAGUGAAGAAGUAAUUCGUUAUGUAAAGCUCUAUCAGCAGGGAAGAUAGUGACGGUACCUGACUAAGAAGCUCCGGCUAAAUACGUG
rnacentral:rRNA from 1 species